rnacentral:tRNA from 2 species
GCGCCAGUAGCUCAGUUGGAUAGAGCAUCGGAUUUCUAAUCCGAUGGUCGAGGGUUCAAAUCCUUCCUGGCGCGCCA